GAUUAGGAUACUUGUUUUAAUGNAGAAGUUAAAUAAAGAAGUUUGUUCAACUUUUAAAUUCCUACAUGAUCUGAGUUUAGACCGAUGUGAAUCAGGUUGGUUUCUAUCUUAAUUAUAAUUAUAAAUUUUUAAUUAGUACGAAAGGAAUUUUAAAAAAAUAUUUUAUUUCUGAUUUAACAGUUUUUGCAUCAAUUUUUGGAAUU
rnacentral:rRNA from 1 species